UACAGAGGUCUCAAGCGUUGUUCGGAUUCAUUGGGCGUAAAGGGUGCGUAGGUGGCGUCGUAAGUCAGGUGUGAAAUCUCGGAGCUUAACUCCGAAACUGCAUUUGAUACUGCGGUGCUUGAGGACUGGAGAGGAGACUGGAAUUUACGGUGUAGCAGUGAAAUGCGUAGAGAUCGUAAGGAAGACCAGUGGCGAAGGCGGGUCUCUGGACAGUUCCUGACACUGAG
rnacentral:rRNA from 1 species